rnacentral:tRNA from 1 species
UCCCUGAUAGCUCAGUUGGUAGAGCGACGGACUGUUAAUCCGCAGGUCACUGGUUCGAGCCCAGUUCGGGGAGCCA